UGUACGCUGUGUGAGAGUCCAACCCCGCCCUAUGUUCCUUUAUUGUUUUCUUUGUUCUAUGCAGGGGUCUGGAGGUUCUUGGUCCGUUUCCAGUUCCCAAUUGAGUUCGUCUUCUCAAGUACCGGUUCUUCGUUAAUAAACUGGAGCUAAGCAGGAAGAGGAGGCGUGUUUAAACAAAUUCAACUCAGUCUCUGACCAAUCAGCUGAAGUUAACAACCCAUUGCUUUGGACUCUCACGCAGCGUACAUAGAAGGAACCUUCAGCUCCUUGUGUACCUGGGGAUGGAAAUAGCAGUGAAAAACCGACAGAGGAAAUACUGUACAAGACCCACUCUGGACACAUUUUGUGGCAAAGAGAACGAAGGACUAAAGAACUAUCUGCAAACUGAUCCGCACUUACACUGGAAUAAAUCUCAGGU